rnacentral:tRNA from 1 species
GAGGGUAUAGCUCAGUGGUAGAGUGAAUGCUUAGCAUGCCCAAGGUCCUGGGUUCAAUCCCCAGUACCUCCA